AAUUUGCGAAGUGAGGACACUAUCACAAGAUCCAAAUCAAUGUCCUUCCGGGAGAAUUUCUUAAAAUCUUGUUUUCUCUCGUUGUCUUCGGAAGAAGCCCGACAUUUCUUAUAGGAAAUGGAACUCUUCAUAAGGUCGCCCCGACCCCUCCUCCCUGACCUGGGAAGACGCGCGCAGUCCCCGACCAGAGGACCUCAGACACAGGUGAAAACCAUCCAUUUCUUGGAGAAGUGCCACGGUGGGGUUGCAAGUCCCAGGAUCAAGUUUUCGAUGUGUCUCUUUUUCCCGUAAAGUGGCUGAAAUCUGAAGCUGAAUCUGCAAGUGUCAUGGAGUCAUUGAAUCUCACAGUCUCAACUGAUAAAAGUUAUUAAAGGUCGUCUGGUUCAGCCUUCUA
rnacentral:lncRNA from 1 species